AUUGAACGCUGGCGGCAGGCCUAACACAUGCAAGUCGAGCGGAGUGGCGGACGGGUGAGUAAUGCCUAGGAAUCUGCCCGGUAGUGGGGGCUAAGGUCCGGAAACGGGCGCUAAUACCGCAUCCUCACAGAUGCGACUAGGUCGGAUUAGCUAGUUGGUGGGGUAAAGGCCUACCAAGGCGACGAUCCGUAACUGGUCUGAGAGGAUGAUCAGUCACACUGGAACUGAGACACGGUCCAGACUCCUACGGGAGGCAGCAGUGGGGAAUAUUGGACAAUGGGCGAAAGCCCGAUGCAGCCAUGCCGCGUGUGUGAAGAAGGUCUUCGGAUUGUAAAGCACUUUAAGUUGGGAGGCGUUACCAACAGAAUAAGCACCGGCUAACUUCGUGCCAGCAGCCGCGGUAAUUC
rnacentral:rRNA from 1 species